ACCCAAGUAAGUUCCUAUGCUGUAGUAGCACCCAGAUUUUCAGUAUAAUCUGCGAUGACAGGUCCGGGUACCAGCGGGGCUGGGAAGAAAACCCGCCACCUGGGGACGUCAACCGGCGCCCUCUCCGGUGGAAGAUCCGGAUAUGUGUGGGAUGAGGAGCAGCUGGCGCAGGGCAUUGCGCCUGUAAGCAAUUCUUAACCCCCCCCCAGCACAAAAGAGCCAGCCCCAUCCCUCACCCCAGCCCAGCCCCAACCCACAGCACAACUGAUCAGGUAAGCUGACUUCUCACCUGAUCAGUUGUGUUGUCUCUUGUCCCCGGGGGGGGGCACAGAGCCAGCCCCAUCCCUCACCCCACCCCAGUCCAAACAAACUUUAGAUAAUCUCUCACAUGGAUUUUCAUUUCUGCCCCCCACCAUCUCACCUGGCGGGGGGAGUGGGGGGCAUCCCUCAACCCGGCCCAGCCCAACCCCACAUCGACAGCCCAAGAGGACGAAGGAAAGGAAGGCAGCAGGUCCAGAUAGAAUUUGCUGCUGGACUGUGCAGAACAGCUUUGUCAGGUAAGAAGUCCAGAACGAAGGCUGCCAACAUCCAGAGACUGGUGACUCCUCGUGCGCUGCAGCACUCAAGAGACAGCACACCCAGAAGAACAAGGAGGAGGCCUCAGAGUACGCCAAGCUGCUGGCCAAGAGGAUGAAGACAGGAGGCCAAGGAGAAGUGCCAGGAACAGAUCGCCAAGAGGCGCCGCCUUCAUUCUAUGAGGGCGUCCACAUCCAAGUCAGAGUCCAGCCAGAAGUGAAACAGAAUCAAAUAAAGUCAUGUUUUGCUGAAACAG